UAGUCAGUUGGUUUAUAUAACUUUCGCUUUGUCAAACUACUUUUGCUUGUGAUUAAAUAUUUCAAUCAAUUUAUUUAGUAAAUUUAAUUGUUACCAUUCUAAUUUUUGUGAUUUUUGUCGAAAAUUUGUUUUCCACUUUGUCGAUAUCAAUAUGUCAACUUACCAACCACCUCACCCACUACCUUACCAGCCAUCUCACUCACAUCAACUUUUUUUCUCAUCUUCAUUCUUGCCUCAUUUCUGUCUCACACUCGACUUGAUAAGCGACUUGAGUCCCUAACAUUUCAUGUCGUUAAUAUUGUAAUAUCAUCCUCAUCUUCUUAUCGUUUUCAUCCUCAUCCUAUUCAAAGAUAUUACCUCAUUGUUUUAUUGGUUGGAUUAUAAGGAGAUAAUCUCAAUCAAUAAAAGUGAAUUUUAAACUCCAACAAAAAAUCCUAAAUUCUCAAUCAUCUCAUGAUAAUUGUGUGUUAACCAUUUUGAUAGUUAAUUCAAUUUCUCUUGAAUUUGUUUUCGUAUAACAAUUACAACCACCAAACAAAAUGCUUCCAUUUGAAACUCCAACCAUUUUUGAACGAUUACCUAAACAACUUUUCUCAGUACCAAAAGUUGUUUCCAAUCAGAAGGAUAAAUUUGAAUCCGAUGAACUAUUUCGUCGAUUAAGGAGAUUCGUUAUGUUGGUUAUAAAGAUCGCCCUUUAGUUGAACGUCGACUAAGAUUUCAAACUGGAUGUCGAGAGGGAACAACAGAUCUCGUAUUUAUACCAACGGG